GCUCCCCUCCCCAGACCCCGCCCCCCCAACCCUAGCGCGCCGCCUGCAUCCUGCGCUGCGCCUGCUGCUAGCGCGCGCUGCGGCCGGCCAGAUGGCCGGGCGAGAUGGUCCUCCGCCAAGCGCCGCCGACGAUUUGCCCGACCUCGUCGCCGAAGCCCACGCCGCGCAGCUCCAGUUCGUUUCCUCCCUUCCCGCGGCCGGCCAUGGCGGCCAUGGAGGCGGCGCCCGUGGGUCCACCCUCGGUUUGGGCGACGGCGGCCGUGGAUCUACCAGAGGCAGGGGCAGCCAUGGCACCGGACGCGGGCGAGCCCAGGGAGGCGGCCCUGGCCAAGGGGAUGGGCAGCCGCUGGGUAGGGGACGCCCUGUCCCUGGUGACGUUCAAGGCGACGGCCCUCCGUUGGGUAGCAGCCGCGCUGGCCAGCCUUCCGGCCAUGGGGACGAUGCCCAGCACGCCGCCGCCGGCGACCCAAACCAUCCGUUCCGCGCAUCGCGUCCUGCAACGACCAAUCAAACCAAAAAGAAAAUGAAUGAGAGUGACUCAAUGGAUUGGAACGACGAGUAUAUUGCCCUUGUUUCAAACAAUUAGAGAAUCUCAUAUCUAGCAUCCAUGGACAAAAAGUUUCAGUCACGUAAUGGAACUGAAGACAAGCUUCCAAUAUGAAUUCAGAUAAGUACUGACCCAUCUUGAUUCCAAUCAUCUGAUUUAACUACUGUAUUUCAUCAUCCUGAGCGCUGUACAAUAGAAAAAUUUUAUGUUAAUUCAUUUUUACAUCAGGUUAUUGUCUGUUGCCUUUUGUGAAGUAACCACACAACUUUUCCCUUAGCUUAUUAUCCAAAGCAAAGAUUAAAUUUCAGAGUUUGGCCUAUGCCACAAAUAACAGUUGUGCCGGGCUGAUUCUUGGCAUCUGAAUGUUUAAAUGGUAAUUGGAUUAUUUAAUGAAAAUAUCACUAGAUGAGAUGAUGUUGUAAGCUUUAUGCUAGUUUAUGUUUGAUGGCCAGCUGGUGUUUGUACUAGAGGAUUUAUGCUAUCGAGUGGUUCAUAUUUUAGCCAUAUGAAUAACUUCAGUUUAGGUAAUAACAAUAUUUUGAAUCAGGGAGACUCUGUACCGUGUUUGCCUCCUUAAAUAAUAGUUUUUUAAACUUCUGUUGGUUGCAUAUCGACAGCCACGAGUUUGUGCAUUCCAAAUGAAAAUUAUUAUGAUGUUCAUUUUUGGCUCAGGUUGUUGAAUUCGGUUAUAAUUUCAGGGAGACAGGAUCUGAGUGAGCAGGGUUCAGCAGCAAAGUGAGAAAAUGGAUGACCAGCAAAGUGAGCUAGAAGAUUUGAAGCUGAAGUUCCAGGAAUCUGAAGCAGCAAGGGAGAAUCAUAGGGGACAGAUUGAAGCUAGAGGAGAGACUUUUUGGCUGUGAGGUCAUAGGGAUGUCUUGUCUGCUAUCUUUUUGCUUUUGGGCUAUUUAUAGUGACUUGACAAGUGAUGUUGGUUAUGAUAUGCAUAGGGAUCUGAUAGUUUUUGGACAAGUGGUAUCGGGUUCUAAUAAAUAUUAUGUGAAGCGGCCAGUGUUUUGAAUGAAUAUGUUGUUUUGAAUUGAUCUCAGUCCAAAACAAAUAAUAAGAUUGAAAAAAUAGAUUGAAAUUGAUAA